GUAACAAAUUCUGAUUUUCUAAUACAUUGUGAACCAUAUCACUCAAAUUUCCCCUGUUGUAAGGUCGUCUCCGACAAACUGUAUCUCCGUUGAACCCUCCGUCCACCCACCAAACCAAACAUUGCCAAGGAUUUUGCAUAAACAUAAACAAUAACCUCAUGGAGCUAAUAAAACUUUAAGUGCAUUAAAAGAACCCAUUUAAACAUAAUUUUCAGUGAAUCAUUUGCAAUCAAACAGUGAACUUAUUUAACCAGACGAAUAUUUAUUUUCAGAAGAAUUAAAUUGCUUUAGACUUCAGUUCAAACAACUUUUCGGCCUAACACAGUUUUCUAGAUUGAAACCUCGUUACUGAAAUAUACAUUUUCAAGAAGUUCUCAUCUAUCUGUGUAUGGUUGGAAAGAGUGUUUCCAUCACGAAUUCGCCUUAUUUCCCUAUUUCGAGUGUUAUUCCUUUUGUUCGGCUCACAUACAUAUAUUUUUCCCACCUGAUGGUGUAAACCUUUGAUAUUUCAAACUUUAAACCGCGGCUCAAAUUCUUUAAAUUCGGAACCGGUUCUUAAAUUUCAUAUUAGUAGCUUUAAACUUUGUUCUCUUAUAUAUUUACAUCUUGUUUCUAAUCUUAGUUUAAAAGGAGUAACAGGUAAAAUUCUGACAAAAUAUCAAUCUAAUUACGACUUUUAUAACACCAUGUUUUCAACGAUUUUGUCACGGAAUUUUCAAUAUGCGUAUUGUCGUUUUUUUUCGUUAGAAUUUACUUAGAUGUUGAUGCAUCAUAACUUGUUUGAAUAUCAGAACAGAAAAUAUUUUGAUAUUUUGAUACUUUGACACUUUACCAUUCAUUAAUAUCGAAUCAAUGUUUAAUCGUCUCUAAAUUCGCUAAGUUUUUAGACACCAAACAGAAGAAUGAUUCACAGAAUAGCAAACGUUAUAUUAACCCGCCGCUCUUAUAUCUUAAUCCUUUUUCAAUGAAUUUAAAUUAAAUUAAAAAAGAAACAUGUUUUAAAAGAUCUAACAGUGGUUUCACUAGGUCUGCAUAAAAAGAAUACUCCUGAGCAAGCCAAGAAACUUACAAUGUAAUAAUAUAGAAUGGGAAGGAAACCUUUCCUUCAACCUCAGUUAGAAUAUAUUAAAGGGACUGGAAACCCUUCCUUCAACCUCAGUUAGAAUAAAUUAAAGGGACUGGAAACCCUUCCUUCAACCUCAGUUAGAAUAUAUUAAAGGGACUGGAAACCCUUCCUUCAACCUCAGUUAGAAUAUAUUAAAGGGACUGGAAACCCUUCCUUCAACCUCAGUUAGAAUAAAUUAAAGGGACUGGAAACCCUUCCUUCAACCUCAGUUAGAAUAAAUUAAAGGAACUAGAAACCCUUCCUUCAACCUCAGUUAGAAUAAAUUAAAGGGACUGGAAACCCUUCCUUCAACCUCAGUUAGAAUAUAUUAAAGAGACUGGAAACCCUUCCUUCAACCUCAGUUAGAAUAUAUUAAAGGGACUAGAAACCCUUGUUGUACCAUUGUGAAUCGUGAAUGCCUCUGUGAAAAUUAGAACAAAAGUCCCUUUAAUCCAAUCAUCCUGCUUCAGGAGCAAGGUUCCAGGAUAAUUCAGGGGAUCAACCCAACCGUUCAGAGAUACUCGGAUACAGUGGGAGAUUUGCAAUCCAUCCAGCACAAUGAUCUUGGGUAUCAUGAUAUCUUUAUAUAUUUUUCAAAGCAUAUUCUUUGAAAUGUGCUUUUCUAGCUAUAUUUAUACUUUCAAAAGAAAUAUUUCAUUAUUUAAAAAUAAACAAAUAACUUUC
rnacentral:lncRNA from 1 species